CUAACGCAUUAACAUUCCGCCUGGGAGUACGUUCGCAAGAUUAAAACUCAAAGGAAUAGACGGGGACCCGCACAAGUGGUGGAGCAUGUGGUUUAAUUCGAAGAUACGCGAAGAACCUUACCUGGCCUUGACAUUGAUAGAAUCUGCUAGAGAUAGCGGAGUGCCCUUCGGGGAGCUUGAAAACAGGUGCUGCACGGCUGUCGUCAGCUCGUGUCGUGAGAUGUUGGGUUAAGUCCCGCAACGAGCGCAACCCUCGUCACUAGUUACUAACGGUUCGGCCGAGGACUCUAGUGAGACUGCCUUCGUAAGGAGGAGGAAGGUGAGGACGACGUCAAGUCAUCAUGGCCCUUACGGCCAGGGCGACACACGUGCUACAAUGGGAUGUACAAUGAGACGCAAUACCGCGAGGUGGAGCAAAUCUAUAAAGCAUCUCUCAGUUCGGAUUGUAGUCUGCAACUCGACUACAUGAAGCUGGAAUCACUAGUAAUCGUAGAUCAGCCAUGCUACGGUGAAUACGUUCCCGGGUCUUGUACUCACCGCCCGUCACACCAUGGGAGUUGAUUUCACCCGAAGCGGGGAAGCUAAACUGGCUACCCUCCACGGUGGAUCAGCGACUG
rnacentral:rRNA from 1 species